rnacentral:lncRNA from 1 species
UAGAGGGGGGUCAGAUGGUCAGCGGGCUUGGGGAGGUCCUGCAUGCGGUGAAUCAUCGACGAGGAGCUCCGGUGGCCGGCGAUGAAGAUGAUGCAGGAGACGGCGGUGGAGAGCGUUUGAGCUCGAUUCCUCUGGGUCAAGAUGGGGAGGAGAACGACGGAGCUAGGGGACACAGUGGCUGGGCUAGAGGGGGCAGGUGGCCACGAUGGUUGCGAGCGGCGGUGACUGUAGCGCCCGGGCAUGGCGGGGAGAGGCGAAAAAACGAGAGAGAGAGGAAUGAGAGGGUC